CAAAGAUUAUAACAAGUUUAAUUUUGGACCUCUCUCUUAUUUUGCUGCAUGCUGUUGAAGUGACUCCAGAUCAGCUCAGAAACCUACUGCUCCCCGGGAUCCACGUCUCUCAAUCCGAUGUAGACGAGAUCUUUGGCCGAGACACACGGCUUGAUCCAGGAGAAGUUUGGCAAGACGGGAACCUGGUGAGGAAGGAACAACAUUCAGCACCCGGUCUGCGUGAUGAGAAGAUACGCUCUGAAACAAACACGCAUCUCGUCUCAGGACUGACCUCUGAGUGCAGCUCGUGGAGGAGGUAGGACAUGGGCUGCCCGUGGAUGUUUCCGGUGGACGAGGUCAGCGGCGUGUUGAUGUCGGCGUGGGCGUCGACCCACA